ensembl:lncRNA
GAUCACAGCUGAGGGCAAAAUCCCUCUCUCCCAAACGUAUUGGGGCAAUUCAAUUGGUACCACAAAAAAAAAAAAAACGAAUGAUGAGUUUUUUGGGGAUGACUUCAUACUGUAGACAGUGGAUCCCUAUUUAUUCAGAAAGAGAGGCACCUCUCUCGUUCAUGGUCCACUGUAAAGGCCUCAGCGCGCAUGACAAACUGACUUGGACUACUGAAGCUGAAAAGGCUUUUCAGGACUUAAAGACUUCCUUAUCACAGGCCCCGACUCUGGGCCUGCUGAGACCCGACUUACCGUAGACUCAGUUCAUAGACCAGAAGGACUGUUAAAUGACAUCAGUUUUGUGUCAUCUUCAUGGAGGACAACUUAGGCCUGUUGCCUACUUCUCCUCAAAACUUGACCCUGUUGCUUCGGGUCUUCCUCUGUUUGCGAGCAGUGGCAGCAGCCGAGAGAGACAUUUUAGCAUCAUGUGACAUUGUGGGCUUCUGUGAUGUCCCACUCAUGGUCCCACUUACUGUCUCUCAUAUCUUAUAUGCCCAGAAGACUUCUCACCUCUCUGCUCAGAGAUGGUUCAGGUAUCCUACAACUUAAUGUAAUUGUCAAACGAUUCAAUGUCCUUAACCCAUCUACACUUCUUCCAACUGCAGAUGACAGAGAGCUUCAUGACUGUGUCGAAGUCUUGCAGCAGACAUGCAUACCAAGGCCUGAUCUGUUGGACACACCUCUUCCCAAUGCAGAUCUUGAGCUGUUUGUAGACGGCUCCGCUUCUCGCUCACCAGACACGGGCAGCGGUCAGGUUGGGUUUUCAGUGGUUACAUCACACAGCACACUUGUUAGUGGCAGGCUUCCUUCACACUUCUCAGCACAGGCGGUAGAGUUGAUUGCACUUGCCGAGGCAUGUAAAGCAGCUGAAGCACUGCACGAAGAGGUGAAAGCGGCGCUUCCAUCCACAGCUACAGCAAUGCAGCACCACCUGAAACCAGGAGACUGGGUCCUCAUUAAGGAUCACUGGAGGAAGCACUGGAAGCAGAGACGCUACACGGGGCUCUUCCAAGUACUCCUGACCACGGAGACGGCAGUUAAGGUGGAAGGGAAAGCGACGUGG